CUUGAUGGCAAUAGAAUUGAACUUGAUUCAAAAAUCCCUGAUUCAAUUCGAAAAAUGAUUCAGUCCACAAUGAAAAAGAAAGAUCACAGACCAACGUUUUUUGAAUUGAAAACCGGUCUCAAGGAAAUGAGAUUUGAUGAUGGUACAUACAUGUAUCCGGCCCACUACAGAAAAUUACCUCGCGCCUCAUUUCGUGUACGUGAGAAAAGUGACACAAAGAACACUUGAACAAUUGGUAUAAAUUGAGUCUACAAUCUUUGUUGUCUAGCCUGACUUCUAUAAUUGCCGCC